rnacentral:rRNA from 1 species
GGAUUAGAAACCCGGGUAGUCCACGCCGUAAACUAUGAACGCUAGCCGUUGGUCAGCUUGCUGAUCAGUGGCGCAGCUAACGCAUUAAGCGUUCCGCCUGGGGAGUACGGCCGCAAGGUUGAAACUCAAAGAAAUUGACGGGGGCCCGCACAAGCGGUGGAGCAUGUGGUUUAAUUCGACGCAACGCGCAGAACCUUACCAGGGUUUGACAUCCUGAGACCGCUCCUGAAAGGGAGUUUUCCCGCAAGGGACUCAGAGACAGGUGCUGCAUGGCUGUCGUCAGCUCGUGUCGUGAGAUGUUGGGUUAAGUCCCGCAACGAGCGCAACCCUCGCCUUUAGUUGCCAUCAUUAAGUUGGGCACUCUAGAGGGACCGCCGGCGACAAGCCGGAGGAA